rnacentral:rRNA from 1 species
GACGAAGGUGGCGAGCGUUGUUCGGAAUCACUGGGCAUAAAGCGCACGUAGGCGGCGACGUAAGUUGGGUGUGAAAUCCCUCGGCCAACCGAGGAACUGCGCCCAGUACUGCGUUGCUUGAGGAUCGAAGGGGUGCAUGGAAUUCCCGGUGGAGCGGUGAAAUGCGUUGAUAUCGGGAGGAACUCCGGCGGCGAAAGCGGUGCACUGGUCGAUUACUGACGCUGAGGUGCGAAAGCCAGGGGAGCAAACGGG